rfam:Beta vulgaris subsp. vulgaris chromosome 2, whole genome shotgun sequence.
CCCUAUGAAAAGGAAAUAUAAUUGUUGCUUCUAUUCAGGGUUUGGGGUUGACAAGUGUACCCUAAUACCAUGUAUGGGGGCUGACACUUGCCCAGUGCCUGAAGGUCAAGGAAGUUGGUGACCUGAUGACAUGGGAGCCGGCUACAGAAGCUCGGGUGAAUGGGGACAUAACUAUAACGGUCCUAAGGUAGCGAAAUUCCUUGUCGGGUAUAUAUAAGGUUGGGGAGAGUAAUAAUUGGG